CAAGGGCAAACCUAACUCACAUGCUUGGAAUAUCCAAUGAAUAUUCCGAAGCAACCGUUUGCCUUUCAUUCCAACUCGUGGAUCAGUGCCACCACAAGUGACUGUAGGACCAUACGCACACCAAUGUACAGGACGUACGUCUGUAGCGCGACUACAUGACCGUACUCCUAUCCGCUGUGCGGAACGUACUCCCGCACGUCGGUGCGUGUGAAAAACCAAAUUACGAGUGGUGGGGGGUAUGUCCACUCCUCGGGCUGAUCGGUUACUAGGCUUACCGCUUACCAUAUUUCACGGUAUGUGGCAAAUUCAUUCAAAUGUUUAACCACCGCUACCACACACUGCGACCUUAUCAAAUUUUCAUCAACACAGACGGGGUUCUUACCAAUGUCAUGAAUCACAACCCCGCCCAUCAUCCUUAUGGUGGUUACAGGAAUGUAAACAAUGCAACUCCUAUAAAGCUCGCAAGUGACAGGUGUCGGGUUUUAUCCGGCUGCCCACCGAGGGGUAUACCCAAGGCGGUAGGUUUUGGGUUAGGAUGCGCCGAGAUCAGGAACUCGAAGGUGCCGACAACACAAGAUUUAGAUAGGUUCAGGUCACAAUAUGCGUAAUGCCCUACGUCCUGUAUGAUGGUUUGUAUUGCCUUGAUGUUGAUCUGGUGAUCUUGGUUUUGAGGGGGUCCCUGCCCGCCCUUAUAUAUCCGAGAGGACAGGGUUACAUGAAUCCUAGCCUGAUACUAGCUUAGGAAUCGUACUCAAGUACAACUCGAGUUGUUUCCUUCUAUAUCGACUAGUUCUACUCCGCAUGCGGGUAGAAUACAACAUAAACAAGGUACAGGACACGUCCUAUCCCCUAGCCCAAUACGGACUCCUUGAUGUACACAGCCCCGUGGCCCCGGGUCUGACAAGCCCCCGAGCUCUUCGUAGCUGAGUACUGCAGGCUCUUCGAGUACUUCUGAGGCAAUCUUCGACUUCUUUCGAAGCUCCGUCUUGAAAUUUCUCUUUGAGUACUCUUCUAACUGCAUCGAAGCUAUGAGGUGCUCAUGCCCCGAAUUCUUUCUUCUGUAUGGGGUGCGAUGAAUAAUCGCACUCCAUAUGGAGUAGCCUCGAGCCUUAGGUUGAAUCGAAGAAUCAAGCUGAGGGUCAAACUAGUCUUGAGUCUUUUCUUCUUAUCCUUCGAGUACUUUCGAAAAAUAAGUAGUCGAUGCCACGUGUCUCAUAGCCCCCGAGCCUUGAAUCCAAAUCCCACAAACUUGGAGAUAAGGAUCCGAAAGUCAUGGCAUGCAGUAUUACUCUAAAAUUCCGAAAAAAAACUCUUCGCCUUCUGCAUAGUGAAAUUAAGCCUCCCGCUGGUUUAUUUAACCGCGCGGUGACUUAAGGUUUCUUCUGCACUCUCAGUCUUCAUAUGAGUCGUCUUCGAGUAGUUUUGCAGCGUCCAGCCCCCGAGCUUACGAGCCAGGAGAGCCAAAGGAACCAUGUCGAGUAGUGCGCAUCACCCAGCCCCCAAGCCUGGGAACUAGCGGAACUGUGAUGGCACGCCCUGCUGCCUGGAGGGUUGUUGCUGAAGCUUGAUCUGAAAAAAGACAAUGCAUACAUUAUGCAGCAUAAUGCGAAGAUACCGAGUAGUACUCAGUAAUAAUAUGAAGGAACCAAAAUUUAUUCGGUGUAAAAAUUUCGCUUCUUGCUCUUGCUAGGCCAUUUAAUUUCCCCGGGCAGUUAGCCUGUUACGUUUAAUCACCUGAUCCCUGAUGGCCGUAGACCAUAGCGUAGGGAACUUUGCCGCAUGCACGCGUAGGAGCAUAGGCUUACAAAAGAGUCGAGGUUUCACGGAUUAAGGCGUGUGCUACCCGAGUACUUUAGCAACCGUUAAGAGAAGACAAAGAAGUCGUCAUGCGACAAAGAGGAUGCGCGGUGCGCAUAAAGUAGUCGGCGAUGUGUAGCUCUGGAGGGUUUUGUACCCAUCGAGAGACAUACACGCAUAAGUAGUCGGCAAGUGCGUGUGUGGCAACACGCAAAGAUCUAUACUUCCAUAGGGUGUAGUCCCAUGAAGCCUCCAGCACUCAUAACACAACCUUGUGGCGUAGCCUCCGUAGUCAGUGUCCUAAGGCCGUGGCAAAGCCGCCAGCACUCGGUGCAUUAAGUCUGUGACAGAGCCUCCAGUACUCGGUGCACCAAAGCUGUGGCUGUCGGUCUAACAUCCCAGGAGUAGUCGAUCAGGGCGUAGCCUCCGAGGGUUUCAUGCCCAUCUAGAGGUGUACCCGAAAGGGUAGCCGAUUCUAUGGAGAACAAGUCGAAAAAGGUAAAAAUCACUUAGCUUGAUUCGUGGAUGAAUAUCGACGAAGCCGAGGAGCUCGUUAAUAGAGCUGCGACGGUUUGUUGAUGAAGCUCGACUAGUCGGAGUCGAUUCCGACUAGUUUUCAAGUCGAGACGAGUAGUUGAAGUAAUCGUCGACGAGCUGCCGAUCGUCCUCGCGAAGUCGAAGUAGUCGAACCCGUCGCUGCUGUGCGCGGAUACUACGGCACAAGCCGAAGUUGAACCGGGUUGUCGAGGUCGACGGCCGCGGUGCAUCGACAUUGCAGCGCAAGGCGAAGUCAAGCCGAGUAGUCGAGGUCGAUGUCGCCGUUCGCUGAAGGAUCCGAUAUCGAACUCGAUAAAUCGAUCCACCGAUGCACAUGCAUGAAGGUAGCAAUCCGCCACCUGGUGAACUAGAAAGAUGCCAACGAGUUCGCUGAUGGAUCUUCGACGCGCCCCCUAUCUAGCGCGCCAGCUGUCGGGUUUUAUCCGGCUGCCCACCGAGGGGUAUACCCAAGGCGGUAGGUUUUGGGUUAGGAUGCGCCGAGAUCAGGAACUCGAAGGUGCCGACAACACAAGAUUUAGAUAGGUUCAGGUCACAAUAUGCGUAAUGCCCUACGUCCUGUAUGAUGGUUUGUAUUGCCUUGAUGUUGAUCUGGUGAUCUUGGUUUUGAGGGGGUCCCUGCCCGCCCUUAUAUAUCCGAGAGGACAGGGUUACAUGAAUCCUAGCCUGAUACUAGCUUAGGAAUCGUACUCAAGUACAACUCGAGUUGUUUCCUUCUAUAUCGACUAGUUCUACUCCGCAUGCGGGUAGAAUACAACAUAAACAAGGUACAGGACACGUCCUAUCCCCUAGCCCAAUACGGACUCCUUGAUGUACACAGCCCCGUGGCCCCGGGUCUGACAACAGGAAAUCACUCGACUUCUACCGAUCCUAUUAGCUUAGCAGCUAGUCGGGCUCAAGUUCUAUUAUUCAGUACAUAGUUUUCUAGGAAUAUACAACUAGGGUUUCAAUACAAUUCCUGGAAACUUAAAUGCACAAGUAGAUAUAUAUGAAUAUAUAAUUUGCAGUGUAGUAAAAUAGCGGUUUAUAUUCGGGGCUUGUCUUCGCUGGUGGGGUUGGGGUCAGGGAUGUCAAAAACUUCCAAACCUUGGUUCGGGGCUUCAGUUAAUUCCUCAGCGACGUUCACUUGGUCUUCAGAAAACCUUUGCUCGUGUUCUAGGACUAGUUCGUAGUCCCUGUCGUCGAGUGUCGUUGAUUCUACAUGAUAUGAAAUGAUUUGAAUUAGGUGGUUCUUGAGUUAAGAAUUUUACUUUACAAUAAAGUUGCAAUCUAACAAUAGAUAAACACAACUUCAUAAUACAAGAAAUUUGAAUUCAACCCUACUAUUGGUAUCUUAAUUCAAUUAUCAUAAUCAAUUGAAUUAAUUGAAUUAGGUUAACAAGUUUGAUUUUUAUUUUGAAAUCCACAAAGGUUAUGGCCUUGAAUUUUUGUGGGUAAGCUUGCUUUUAGCAGAUAAGCUUACUAUGAAUUUUUCAUAAUUUUUUGAAAAUAGAAACUAAAGCAGUUGAAUUAAGAUCAAAUUUCAAGUUUAAAUUCAAACCUUAGACAAAACAGUGCCAUAAAUUCUUGAAAGAUUUACUAUGAAUUACUCAAUUAUAGAAUAUCCCAUGGUAAUAAGAUCUAAGCAUGAAAACCUUAGUAAUGGGCUUGAAUAAAUUUAAACCAUUUCAAGCUUGAUUUGAAUAAGUUUAAAUUAGUUCAAGCUAGGGUUCAGUACUGUAAGUGAAAUUUUCACAUAAGCUCACUCAUACCCUAAACAGGCUACACACCAAAAAUCACAAACAAUAGAGCUAGCAUGCAAAAGUUACACAAAAGAUACCCUUUUGCUAAACUUUAAAAUAGCUCAAAAUGCAUUUGGUUUCACAUUAGACAUUAGUAACAAAAGUUGUAGAAUUUACUUCAAGGAUUCAAACAAACUGGUUUGACAUUUUUUUGAGUUUCCUACGAAUUUCUACAAAUUUCUAAAGAACACUAAUUUUGAAUUGAGGGGAGGGAUUGGAAUCUUGCAGCCAGACCCUUAGAAAGAUUUAGAUCAAAGCAAUUGGGUCCUUGGCUCAUCGGGGGAGGAAGCCAAGAAUUGCCGGCCAAAUUCCGGCGACGCUGGUCACCGGCGGCGAGGGGGAAGUGGCUAGGGAGGACCAGGGGGCUUGCGCGGGCUUAGAUGGGGGUAAUGUGAUGGUCGGGGUUGACCGGAGGGGGUGGAACGGCGGUGAACCGAGGCGGCGGCAAUAGAGCUCAACUACAACGGCGGUGUUCCAGCGUAGCGGCUCACCGGCGGUGGACCGGAUGUAGGGGGAAAGCUCCAGGGAAGUAAGGCAAUUCGAUUGAUCACCUCGGUGAGAGCUAGGAUGGCCGGAGGGGUGAGUUACCACGGCAACCCGGGACGGCGGCGAGGGGAGGAGCUCGUCGGCGAGGGGGAUGCAGUGCUCAAGGGCGGCGAUGAAGGGGCUGGUGAGCUUCACAGGAUCACGGCGAAGCUACUGGAGGGGCUAUCGUAGAUCGGAAGAGGCUGGGGCGAGCUGGCGACGGCGCGGUGGACGAUGGCAGACAGCGAGCGCGGCGGUGGUCCAGUGGAGAAGAAGUCGAGAAAACAAACGACGGUCGUGGGAGUGGAUAUAAGUAGUUGAAACGAGUUCCUGGUCCUGCUGUGGAACUAAGAAGAGGCACGAUGAGCAGUAGCUACUGCUGGCGGCCGACGACGGGCGUGGCGGCCGGGCGGAGCUCGGGCAGAGGCGGGGCGACGUGCAGUGCGCGGAAGAAGUCCAGAGGGGAGGAGCUAGAACGGCGGCUGGCUUGGAGACGACACGUGGGUGCUGCCAGAAGCAGGAGAUGGCACUGACAGGGCUGGAGCGGCGGUGAGCGGUGGCGGUCUGCGGCGGCAGAGAGGGGGGGCAGCUAGGGCGGACGGCAGAGCGUCGUGGCGUGCUCGGGGAGGGCCAGCAGGAGGGAGGUGAGGCGCUGGGCGAGCUCAGGGGCGACGCGUGGAGCGGCGCUGGAGCAGGAGGUAGCCUCGGGCGACGCAGCACGGCGACCUGCGGUGCCGCUGCUGCGUGGCAGAGGAGGAAGAAGAAGGGGGGGGGGGCGCUAGGGGCUAAAUUAUGAACUUUAAAACUCCAGGGACCUUACUAUAAAUCAAAAUUUCCCACUGAUCUAAGGCUUAAAUGAGAAAAUAGUCAAAAUAAAAGUUGUAGAACUUUUCAAACCAUUCAACUUUUAUUUAGGGUUUAAAAUUAAAAACUCAAAGGAUAGAACUUUAUUUAAAAACUUUGGACUCAACUCAAACUUUUCAAAGUUUUUGUCCUUAGUUAGGAAAUUUUCAUGUAUUUUUGGACUUAAUUGCAAGUUUUAUGCACUGCAAUGAUGACUAACAUUUUUACACUUUGACCCCUAGUGAAAUUUAAGAGUUACCUUUGUAAUUCAAACAUUCUACACAAAAGAACUCAUAUUUUUGAAAUAAUUACUCACAAGUCCUUAUUGCCACACAUUCAUCUAAUUUCACUCAAUCCAAUACACACAUUACACAUUCCUUCCUAGUGUUUUAAAAUUUUGACACCUAGGGUGUCACACUAUUCUAUAUCUUCCACAGUGGAAGUAUAUGAACUCUUGCGUUUAUGCCAUAGAAGGGAUCAAGCUUGAGGACAUCCCUGUCGUAUGUGAGUACCCAGAUAUUUUUCCGGAUGAUUUACCCAGGAUGCAUCCUGAUAGGGACAUUGAGUUUAUUAUAGAAUUACAACCCGGUACAGCCCCCAUCUCUAAAAGACCCUAUCGUAUGCCAUCCAAUGAGCUAGCAGAAUUGAAAGUUCAACUUCAGGACCUUCUUGAUAAAGGUUUUAUUCAUCCAAGUGCUUCACCAUGGGGAUGCCCAGCCCUGUUUGUGAAGAAAAAGGACCAUAGCCUUAGACUAUGUGUGGACUAUCGCCCCCUCAAUACAGUAACCAUCAAAAACAAAUAUCCUCUUCCCUGCAUUGACAUCUUGUUCGAUCAAUUAGCCGAAGCCAAGGUAUUCUCCAAAAUUGACCUUCGCUCUGGAUAUCACCAGAUAAAGAUAAAGCCCAACGACAUCCCAAAAAUAGCAUUCUCCACCAGAUAUGGACUUUAUGAAUAUCUAGUUAUGUCCCUUGGUCUUACCAACGCAUCAGCAUAUUUCAUGUAUCUCAUGAACUCUGUCUUUAUGCCGGAGCUCGAUAAAUUUAUCGUAGUAUUCAUCGACGAUAUUCUGACCUAUUCCAAAAAUUCUCCAAUUGUGAGACAUCUUCAUAUUAUUCUUUAGAGAUUGUGAGAACACCACUUGUAUGCCAAAUUCUCCAAAUGUGAAUUUUGGCUAGAUACAGUUAAAUUUUUGGGUCACACCAUCUCCAGUGAUGGCAUAUCUGUUGAUCUGAGUAAAGUCCAGGAAGUGAUGGAUUGGAAGCCCCCUACUUUAGUCCAUCAGAUCCAUAGUUUUCUUGGUCUUGCUAGCUAUUAUCAUCAUUUCAUCCUUGACUUCUCUAAAAUAGCCAAGCCAAUGACAGAAUUGCUGAAGAAAGGAGUUAAAUUUUCCUGUAAUGAGAAAUGUGAAGAAGCAUUCCACACUCUAAGAGCACACCUCACUACUGCUCCAGUUUUGGCUCAGCCAGAUAAUUCCAAACCUUUUGAUAUCUAUUGUGAUGCGUCGUGCAUCGGACUUGGUUGUGUACUCAUGCAAAACAACCGAGUAAUUGCUUAUGCCUCACGAGCACUCAGGACUCAUGAACAGAACUAUCCUACCCAUGAUCUUGAGCUUGCAGCCGUUAUCCAUGCGCUUAAGAUCUGGAGACAUUAUCUUAUGGGUACUAAGUGCAACAUCUAUACUGACCAUAAGAAUCUCAAGUACACUUUUACACAAGCAAAUCUAAAUAUGAGACAAAGACGUUGGCUAGAGCUUAUAAAAGAUUAUGAUCUAGAAGUGCACGAUCAUCCAGGCAAGGCCAAUGUGGUUGCGGAUGCACUUAGCUACAAAGCGCAUAGCUAUUGUUUAUCAAUAGAAGCCUUUAGUGAAACUCUCUGCUGGGAAAUGUGAAAGCUCAAUUUUGAGAUUAUUCCUCAAGGUAGUUUGAAUCAUAUAGCAGUUGAACCCACACUUCAAGAUAGUAUCAUUAUAGCACAACUACAUGAUAAAGGAGUCAAAAUCAUCAAGCAACAGCUAGCCCAGGGAUAAGAAAAGUAUAAGUGUUUUUAAGUAGAUCAAAAAGGAAUUCUAUGGUUCAAGGGACGUAUUGUUGUACCCAAGGACCAUCAGCUUCGUAAGCAAAUUCUGGACGAGGCACAUCUGUCCAAGUUCUCUAUGCACCCUGGCAGUACCAAAAUGUAAGAAGACCUGAGAUAGAACUUUUGGUGGACUCGCAUGAAAAGAGAAAUUAUAAGAUAUGUCUCUAAGUGUGAUAUUUGCCAAAGAGUUAAAGCCAGUCACUUAAAGAUUGCUGGUGUUCUUCAACCUUUACCCAUUCCUUCUUGGAAGUGGGAAGAUAUCAGCACGGAUUUUAUCGUUGGCUUACCCAACACUUCCCAGAAGCAUGAUUCUAUUUGGGUAAUCGUUGAUCGAUUAACCAGAACUGCCCAUUUCCUUCCUGUGCAUACUAAUUACAAUGCAGAGAUCUAUCUAGACCAAAACUUUCGUCUCCAUGGAAUACCUAAGAUGAUCAUCUCUGAUCGUGGAGCACAGUUCAUUGCCCAUUUCUGGGAGCAACUCCAACACUCUCUUGGAACCAAAUUAAUUCGAAGCUCCACAUAUCAUCCACAAACAGACGGACAAACGGAAAGGAUAAAUCAAAUCCUAGAGGAUAUGCUUAGAGCCUGUAUAAUUCAAUAUGACAAAAAUUGGGACAAAUGCUUAGCUUUGGUAGAAUUCUCCUAAAAUAAUAGUUAUCAGUCGAGUCUCAAAAUGGCUCCUUUUGAAGCAUUAUACGGUCGCCGAUGCCGAACUCCUUUGAGUUGGUCUCAAACUGGCGAACAUAAAAUCUUUGGACCCGAUCUUAUCACUGAAGCAAAAGAAAAGGUGAAGAUCAUUCAAAAUAAUCUUAAGGCAGCCCAAUCUCGAUAAAAGAACUACACGGACAAAUGAAGGAAACCAUUGUAGUUUGAAGUUGGUGAUUUUGUAUAUCUAAGGGUAUCUCCUACCUGAGGUGUUCAACGGUUUGGUAUGAAAGGAAAACUCGCUCCUCGAUAUGUUGGACCUUUUGAAAUUCUAAAAACUUGUGGACCCGUAGCUUAUCGUCUUCAACUUCCUUUUCAGCUAGCAGCCAUUCAUAAUAUCUUCCAUGUAUCUCAGCUUAAGAAAUGCAUCAAAAUCCCUACCGAGGUUAUCAAUUUCCAAACCAUUAAAAUUGAGCCAGACCUAUCUUAUACCGAACGUCCGAUCCAAAUAGUUAGGAUGUUUAAGAUCCAAUGGAACCAUCACACUGAAGAAGAAGUGACUUGGGAAACUGAAUCUUAUCUUCAGCAUAACUUUCCAGACUUCCUUAGAGCCAAACCAAGUAUCUAAUCUUCCAAUUCCAUCCUGUUCCGAAAUCUCGAGACGAGAUUCUUUUUAGGGAGGGAGGCUAUGACAUUUCAGGUACUUAGGAGCUAGGCACACUAAUUUCUAGUAUGAAGUUAUGCUUGUUAGUGUGAAGUUUGUGUUUGUUUUGAUGAAUGCCUUUAACAAUUUAAAUACACGUUAAAGGGUAUUUUUGUAAUAUUGGGAAAAAUUAGGGUUCUUUUUGUAAAUUGUGUAUAAAUGGGAGGUAAUUUCAAAAAUGUAUGAAGGGUUGAUUUGCAAAUGUGAGUUUUCACUCUUUAACCACUGUAAGAAGUGUAAAUACUCCAAGGUUUCAUUGAAAGGGUAAAAUUUAUUUUGGAUUUUUUUGAAAUUGAAUGAUUUGUUGUUUUUUAAAAAUAAUUUCAAAAUCCUAACUAUUUUGAAGUUGGACCCUAAACCAAAUGGUAGAUCCUUUUAAGCUCUACAUUUGUUAUUUUGGGCAUAUUUUCAUUAGAACUAUAGUUUGGAAGGAAAUUUUACUUUACACUGAACUCCUUGAACUUUUGCAAAAUUUACUAACAGGUCCUUGUCUUCUUCCUCCUGCUUCCCCCUCUAUGUUUCUCUGCAGCGCCGCCCACCACCCAUCGCUGGCGUUUUCCCCAGCCGCCAGCUGCCCCCUCGCCGCUCUUCCUGCGCCACGUGGCCCCCAGCUCGCCCGCCCGCCGCUUAACCGACCCCGCUGGCUCCUCCUCGUGCGGACACGUCGCGCCGUUGCCCGCCCGAGCCACCACGCGCGCUGUCGACCGCCAGCAGCUGCUUGGCGCCCACCCGCUCGCCUCUUUUUAGCCUGGGAACGUGCCUAGUGAACUUCUCCUUUCUUCUAUCCCCUCGCACGCACGCGCAUUCUUGUUUCUUUUCCCCGUCAACUACUUCACCGGAGCUCCUCUGUCCACUGCCGUCAACCGUCUCCGCCGCUCCUCCUCUCCAAUUUUGUGCUCCACCAGCACCGCCACAUCUCAUUGCCCCUUCCUGAUCCGCUCUUCUUCCUCCUUCCGCGCACGUGCAGCCUAGAACGCCGCGCUGGCGAUCUCACUCUCCACCGCCGUUCUAAUUCUAGUCGAACCGAAGUUCCACCCCUUCUCCUUCACCAAGAGCACCAUCAGCACUACAUCUCCACGCCGAAGCUCCCUGACCAAUUUUCUUCGCCUUCUUGCACUCCAGUCGUCGGACCACCGUCGCCGCCCUCGGAACCUCGCCGCGCCGGCUCUGUUUCUAGUCGAACCGCUGCCUCCGAGCUUCCCUUCUAUGAUUCCAACCACCCCCAAGUCCGCUGUGAGCUCCUGAACCUUAUUCCCCACCUUCCCCUCACCGCCAAUAAGCCUCCUUGUUGAAUUUUGAUCGCCGCCGCUCGACUUCUUCUGUUCAAGUCUCUGAAUCCAAAUCCCAAGGUUUGAAAGAUAUUAACAUCACUAACCCCAGCCUCACCAGUGAAGGCAAGCCCCAGUGCAUAACCCAGUAUUUUAAAUUAUGCACUUAUAUCGUUAUAUAUCUAUCUUGUGCAUUAAGUGCUAGGAGUUGUUAUGAAACCCUAGUUGCAUGAAACCUAGGAACCUAUGUAAUGUUUCCGAGUCCUUAUCGAGUAGAUGCUCUGCUAAUAGGACCGGCAGAAGUCUAGUGAUUUCCUGUCACUCGCGCGAUGUCACACCCAAUUUAUAAAGAACAUAAAUCGAGCCAUCAUAUAUGCGCCAGGAUCAAGUCACGCAUAUAUACAACAGAAUAAUCAAGAUAUCACAACACAUAUCACGAAUGACAUUAAUAUAAAUCGUAAAUGAAUUAUUUUAUUACAACCGAAUCAAGAAUCGGUUCAAGAGUUGCGGAAGCGUAAAAGAGAUACAUGAAGAGCUGGGCGCCACAGGGACGUCGACUGGAAGACAAACGCCUAGAAGUCGUCGAAGCCGCUGACGUAGUCCUCCACGUUGCCGGGCACUGAGCAGCAGUCGAAGAUAUCCAAGAGAACAGAAGAGUAGAAAGGCAAGAGUGAGUACAACUCGUACUCAACAAGUAUAACACAAACUAUGAGGCUCUAAGGUUGGCUGACUCGACUGCAUUAGCUUUUAGUCUUGGCAGAAUUUUAUUAAAGCUAAUUACUACAAGUGGAUGAAUUACCAUAAACCCGAAUUGCAUAAUAAAUUAUUCAAUAUUAAUUAAGAACUACUGAGAACCAUCCAAACCAAAACCACCCGGGGAAAUCUCCCUAAUCAAAGGUUGAUAACCCCACUAAUCAAAAGGAGGAUCUGGGCCACUCAUGACUGUGAGCACAGCUGAUAUAUCAGUUUUACACUCUCGAGAGGUUGCAUAACUUUACCCACAAGUCGUGAGCUAUGCUAGUUGUUCAUCACACUUCCUUAGGUGAGAUGGCUAGCAAGCACACUACGAGACCGUUACACAGGAUCACGUUGGUAAGGUGUAACCGCUAAGGUUUCUGGAUCAGCGACGAUGGGGCCCACCUCCGGGGGUACAAGACACACAGCACAGACCAAGCCGGAGGAGCAGGGACCAUUGAAGCUUACCACCCCUCUUGCCCACGCAGGUAAGUUACUCCCGAACCAACACGACCUAAUUAGUAAGUCAAGACCGUCCCAUUCCAGUCUUGUGGUUGCGCGGUUGUCCCAGGUUGUCGCUCUAUGAACCGGUCCUUAUGGAGAGUGGCCAACCAAGCACUAAGCACCGUGCUGGCCCCCUAAACCUUGUUUCUACAAAAACAUAUUUUUAAGGACGCGCAAACCACUCAAGCACACAGCACAGAGGGUCGGCUCCAGAAUUAAGUUGCAUAUACCAUUAAUCAAAUUUAAUUAAAAAGGACCAAUUGUGAGAGCGCAGCACCUAGCAAAACUAACCACAAUGCAACCCAAAGGAUAUAUAUAAAGGAUAUAAAGGUGGCUAGGAAAUCCUUAUGGGCGUACAGAAUUAAAAUGCAGUAUGAAAUUGUAUUUAAAAGUGAUAGGAUGUUCAUGUUAUAUUUGCCUUCCUCAAAGUUCUCCUGCUGCUGCUCAAAAGCUUCAGAAGAUGGUGGCUCCUGGUACUCGUCCAAAGGCUCCGCGUCUACUCACGAUCACCAAGCAUGGUCCACACAUACACACAUGCACAGACAAUAGCAAACUAUAAAAAAAACAGUACACCAAUAUAAUAGAACAGCACACAAAACUAGCCUAGAACUAUUCUACGCGUUACAACGAUCACGUGGACAUAAAGAACACCUAAAACGGAGCUAAAACGCGAAAUCUACGCUUGAAACAAGAUCCAGGGACCUUUCUGCGAGAAAAACUGGCUACAGGGGGUUCUGGACAAAAACCAGGGGCUUAAACGUAAUUAAAGGGUAGACACAGGGGCUAACACAUGAAAACACAAGGCAUGGACUGCGGGCACUAAUUCCAGGAAGCUCAAGGGUCAAAAUGGAAGAAAAGGACCUGUCUGCGAAUACUUUUGAACUAGAGAUGGACGGCGGGUUAAUUCCCCAAAAGGGCAGGGGCUCUUUAACAAAACUGCCAUGGCUGAGGGGGGGUACGCGGUUUCUAAUCUGGGCGGUUGGAUCUAAAUCGAACGGUUCGGCGCAUUCCGGUUCGGACGAUCCGAUCUGAACAGCGGGGGUCCGGACGGUCCGAUCUGGACAGCGUGGUUCGGACUGGUCCGAUCCGGUAGAGCGCGGCCGGCGGCGGGGGGGGGGGGGUGUCGCUGGAGAUCGGUUUCCGUGGCGGCGCGCCGCCGGAGCUGGGCAAAAUCAAUGCUCCGGGGGUCAAAUCAAACGGGGAUUGGGUCUGGAAGGUUCAGCGCGACUUGGGGAAACCACCUAAGGAUAAGGCGGAACGCGGGAAGGGCUCAGGCUGUGCGCACGACGACGGGGGUGGGUCGGCACGGCGGUGCAUCGCCGGCGCGCGCGUUCCGGUCUAAGAGAGGGCUAAAGAUCUACGACAUCUAGUGCAAAAAGGACCAAGGAAUGGCGGGAAAGCUCACCAGGUCUCGUGGUGGCCGGAGCUACAGCGGAAGAUGGUCGGCGACGAGGUCCGAGCGGCGGAACAGGCGGCGCUUGUGGGGAAGGCUCCUGCAGAGAGGCUCGAGGUCCCUUGGACGCGCGGAUCGGUCGGGGAACUCCCUGCAGAGGUAACCAGGGGGUUAAGAUGGAUCAGGAUGCAACGACGAUGAGGAAUUCCGACGGCGGAGCGGCUCACCGUCGAAGGUUCCUUCGGGAAAUUCGGUCGAUGCCGAGGCAUAGGGCUUCGAUGCUGGGCUAGCGGAGCUUCGGGAUGGCGAGAGGGAGCGGACCCGGGGUUGUGGUGGUCUGGGGUGCAGCGGAACGGCCGGUCGGCGGUGAGGCCGAGGCGUCUGCGCGGCGGAGGGAAGAAGGAGGCGGCGGCGCUGCGGUUCUCCAGAGGUGCUGCUGCGGCUAGGUUUAGGGUUCUAGGGCGCGGAACCUUCUUGUAGGGCAGCGGCCCACAUUGGCAUGCGGGCCCGAAGCGAGAGAGCUCGCCGGAAGUUUCGGGGGCCGUUGCGCGGCCGGUAGAGGAAGAAGGAAGAAGGGGCCGACAGGUGGGGUCGAGCUGGGGAAAUGACUGAGAAAGAAGGAAUGACUGAGAAUAGAAGGAAUGACUGAGAAUAGAAGGAAUGACUGAGAGAAAAGAAGGAAUGAUUGAGAGAAAAGAAGGAAUGACUGAGAAUAGAAGGAAUGACUGACCUACUUUCCUGUCUCCUCCCUUUUCUUUUUCAAACCAACUCGAUUCUAUUUGAAUUCAACCCCUAUGCACUCAACCAAAUAAAACUUAUGCACCAGCAUGAAUGCACAAACAUGUUGAACCUAAAAUAAAUUUUAAUUCUUUGUGAAUUAAAUUAUAAAUAAAUGCAAGCUAGGCAAAAUAAAUCCUUAAAAAAUUACUGGAGCCCAUUUAAAUUCAUUAUAGAUCUCGAAAUUUUACCUUAGGAUGUUACAAACCUACCCCCCUUACAGGAAUCUCGUCCUGAGAUUCGAAUAGGCUAGCUAGCAAAGAGAUCGGGAUAUGUCUUCCGUAGCUCAUCUUCUCGCUCCCAAGUAGCCUCAUCCUCCGUGUGAUGACUCCACUGAACACGGCACAUCUUGAUCCUCUUGUUUCUGGUAACUCUCUCGGAUGUCUCCAGAAUCUUCACCGGAUGCUCGAUGUAAGUCAAAUCUUCCUGCACAUCUAACCCUUCCAGCGGUGCUUGCUCUUCUGGCACCCUCAAGCACUUCUUCAGCUGAGAUACAUGGAACACAUCGUGCACUCCUGAGAGGUUGGGAGGCAACUCCAAACGAUAUGCUACCUCACCUUUCCGUUCCAACACCUUGAACGGACCAAUGUAUCGAGGGGCUAGCUUCCCUCUCACAAUAAACCUGCGGAUUCCUCUCAUCGGCGAGACCUUCAGGUACACAUGAUCACCCACUGCAAAGGUCAAAUCUCGACGACGAAUAUCCGCGUAGCUCUUCUGACGAGUCUGAGCGACCCUCAGAUUCUCUCGCACCUGUUGUACCAGCUGCUCUGCCUCUUCCACAAUAUCCAGACCAAACACCUGCCUCUCGCCAAUCUGAUCCCAAUACAGUGGAGUCCUGCAUUUCCGGCCAUACAGAGCCUCGAAAGGAGAUUUCUUCAGACUGGACUGAUAACUAUUGUUAUACGAAAACUCUACAUACGGCAAGCAUUUAUCCCAGCUGGUACCAUACUGGAUAGCGCAGGCUCGAAGCAUAUCCUCCAACACUUGGUUGGUCCUUUCUGUCUGCCUAUCUGUAUGAGGAUGAUAGGCGGUACUGAAACGCAGCUUCGUAUCCAACGAAUCAUGCAACUGCUCCCAGAACCAUGAAGUGAACUGAGAUCCUCGAUUAGAUAUGAUCUUCUUUGGAACACCAUGCAGACAGACGAUCCUGGAGAUGUACAACUCUGCGAGUCUAGCGCCGGAGUAAGUAGUGUUCACCGGAAUGAAAUGAGCAACCUUCGUCAACCGGUCCACUACUACCCAUAUGGAGUUGUACCCUUUCUGAGUACGAGGCAAGCCAACGAUGAAAUCCAUAGUGAUUUCCUCCCAUUUCCACUCUGGAAUCUUCAACGGCUACAAUAACCCUGCUGGCCUCUGAUGCUCUGCCUUGACACGCUGACAAGUGUCACAGAUAGCCACGUACUCCGCAACGGAACGCUUCAUUCCAUACCACCAGAAUCGUUCCUUCAGGUCAUAAUACAUCUUCGUACUGCCUGGAUGGAUAGAAUAUGCUGUAUCAUGAGCCUCACUCAAGAUCAGCUUCCUGAGGUCAUUCACAUCCGGCACACAUAUACGACCCUUGUACCACAAGGUACCCUGAUCAUCCUCUCUGAAAUGAGGGGCUUUACCAAUCUUAAGCAAUUCACGGAUCUCCUGCAGCUUCUUGUCAUCUUUCUGAUGCUGCCUGAUCUCAGCCUCUAGAGUGGGUUCUGCCUCGAAUGAUGUACCCGAGGUGUGAUGCAAGAAACCCAGACUCAACUGCUCAAACUUCUCGCAUAACUCCUGAGGCAUUUGAAAAGCCACGGCCAUGUUAACAUAGCUCUUCCUGCUCAGAGCAUCUGCUACAACAUUGGCCUUGCCCGGAUGAUAGUGAAUCUCCAGGUCAUAAUCCUUGACCAAUUCUAGCCAUCUUCUCUACCGCAUGUUCAACUCACUCUGUGUGAAAAUAUACUUGAGGCUCUUGUGAUCAGUGUAAAUAUCACACUUUUCCCAAAGAAGUAAUGCCUCCAUAUUUUCAGAGCAUGCACAAUUGCGGCUAACUCCAAAUCAUGAGUGGGAUAAUUCAGCUCAUGCCGGCACAACUGCCGCGAGGCAUAAACUAUCACUCUGCCUUCCUGCAUCAGGACACAACCAAGACCAUCCCUCGAAGCAUCACAAUACACUGUGAACCUCUUGCUCUGGUCUGGCAGAGUAAGGACUGGCGCCGUAGUCAGCCUCUUCUUCAGCUCCUCGAAGGGACUCUGACGCUCAUCAGUACAAGAGAAAUCAACUCCCUUCUCUAGCAAGGAAGUCAAAGGCUUCGCAAUCUUGGAGAAAUUCUCAAUGAACCUCCGAUAAUAUCCUGCUAAGCUCAAGAAAGAGCGGACUUCCUUCACUAUCUGCGGUACAACCCAGUCAAGCACAUCCUUCACCUUCCCGGGGUCCACAACAAUACCUCCCUUGGAGAUAACAUGACCGAGGAAUGGGACCUCGUCAAUCCAGAAUUCGCACUUGCUGAGCUUGGCAUACAGCUUGUGCUCUCUGAGCCUCUGCAACACAAGCCUCACAUGCUUCUCAUGCUCUGCUUCUGACUUGGAAUAUAUCAGGAUAUCAUCAAUGAAUAUCACCACAAAGGUGUCCAGAUAAUCCAUGAAAACCUUAUUCAUCAGAUGCAUGAAGAAAGCCGAAGCAUUGGUCAAACCAAAAGACAUGACCGUAUACUCGUAUAGCCCAUACUUGCAAGUGAAUGCCGUCUUCGGAAUAUCCUCAGAACGAAUCUUCAGCUGGUGAUAGCCCGAACGCCGAUCAAUCUUCGAGAAUACACAAGCACCCUGAAGCUGAUCAAAGAGAUCCUCAAUACGAGGCAAGGGAUGCUUAUUCUUGAUGGCAACUGCAUUCAGAUCCCGAUAAUCGACGCACAUUCUCUUCGCGCCAUCCUUCUUCUCUACAAGCAAUACAGGAAAAGCCCAAGGAGAGAAACUGCGAUGGAUAUAGCCCUUGGCUAGCAACUCGUCGAUGGUCUUCUUAACUUCCUCAUGCUCAACGGGAGCCAUACGAUAGGGCCGCUUGGCAAUAGGAGCUGUGCCAGGCAAGAGAUCAAUAGAAAACUCAAUGUCGCGAUCAGGCGGCAUACCUGGCAAAUCAUCCGGAAAGACAUCCGGGAAUUCAGACACCACGCGAAUACCAUCCGUGGGUCUAGCCUCCAUCUGAUGAAGAAAUCCAGAAGGUUCUGUAGCUCCAACAGUGACCUCCUGACCAUCUGGUGCUGACAGAAGAACCGUCCUCUGAGCACAAUCUAUCCGAACUCCCCACUUAGCAAGAGUCUCCAUCCCGAGGAUCACAUCAAUGCCCUUGGUGUCUAGCACCAUCAGAUUCGCACUGAACUCUACCCCCCUUAUGACCACACUAACUCUGGGACAGAAGAUAUGAGACCUCAACUGCCCUCCCGGUGAAGAUACUAACAUGCAUCUCUUUAAUGUGCUAGUAGGAAUGCCAUGAUGCUCAACAAAAGACUGGGUGAUGAAAGAAUGCGUAGCACCAGUAUCAAAAAGCACUGUAGCAGGAUGGGUGUUGACCAUGAACGUACCAAUAACCACGUUAGGAGCCUCGGCCGCUGACUCGGCCGUCACGUGGUUCACCCUGCCCUGAGCUGGGGCCUUGGGCUGAGCUGCACGCCCCUGCUGUCCUGACUGUGCCUUCUGGGGGCAGACGUUGGCGUAGUGUCCCGGCUCGCCGCAGUGGAAGCACACUCGCGGAAAUGCAGCGGCCUGCUGCCCGGCAGGAGGAGGGGGCACUCCCUGCCUCUAAGCUGGUGGAGCCGGAGGCGCUGGAAGCCUCUAUCCCUGUCCUGCCUGCUGCUGAGGAUGGGGAGGAUACUGUUGCCACUGCUGGUACUGCUGGGGCGGUCUCUGCUGCUGCUGCUGCUGCGGAUGCUGAUAGCGGGGUCGAGUGUUGCUGCCCGAAGAGGAUGGAGCCAUCUUCCUCUUCUUAUCCUCAAUCUCCCGGCGCUUACGCUCGGUGUUGAGGGCAGCAUCAACCAGCUGGUUGAAGUUGUCGAAGUGGUGGUUCAGCAGCGCAUACUGGAUGUGAUCAUCCAGCCCUUCCUUGAAAUACUCCUGCUUGUCGCUAUCACGGGCGACGUCAGCAGGGGCAUAGCGGGCAAGCUGAAGGAAACGGUCACGGUACUCCGUCACCGUCAUCGAUCCCUGCUUAAGGGCACGGAACUCCUUCUGCUUCAUCUUCAUAAUGCCCUCAGGAAUGUGAUGGUUCCUGAAGCGCUCACGAAACUGGACCCAGGUGAGAGAGUCGCGGUCCUGAAACGGGUAGGACUCCCACCAGUCGAGAGCGGAGCCUCGUAGCUGCCCUGCGGCGUACAGAACCCUCUCCCGGUCGUCGCACUGCGCAACAACCAACUGGCGCUCCACCGAACGAAGCCAGUCGUCCGCCUGGAGUGGGUCUGUGGCGUGAGAGAAGGUCGGCGGGUGACCUCUCAGGAAAUCCGCAUGCCGAUCGCGGGGCUGAGGCGGCGGAGGAGGCGGGGGCUGGGCGUGGAUAUGCUCCAGAGCCUGAACAGUAUUGUUCAGGGUAGCCAUCAUCUGCAUCUGGAGCUGGAAGAACUGCUCCGGGGUCAGUGGUGGCGGCAUCGGCAGCGGCUGACCAGUACCCUGGUUGUUCUGCUCCUGCUGGUCAGAAUCGGAACCGAUGCGCCUGGUGUUCACCAUCUGAUUGCAGCAACGAAAUUUUAUGAGAACAAGAUAUUGUGCAGCUGCGGAAAUAAAACUUCGGCAGGAUAUGACCGAGAGAAAGGAGUAUAGGUUUUACCACCAACAUUAUAACUAAAUUUUAUUAUUUAGUUCAAGUUGUGUUAGGGUCGGUUUGCAGGAACAAGUUUAACUACUAGUCUAUGCAAUCAACCAAAAAUCCAAAUCAAACAUUUGCACAAUAACAAACAUUCAAUGUUCACAACUUAGUCGAGUUUAUCACACCACUCGACUAACAUACUCGUUCUAGCGUAUUUUCAUCAGGACAACCUAGACUUAUAAUUUACAGGAUUAGGCGACUCAGGCCAACGUCUACGGAAAACUCAAGCUAUUUCUCAGAAAAGGCAGGAGAGAUAGCGAAUCAAAGGGCUUAGGAUUCAAGGAAUAGAGGCAGGAAAUGAUUUUAGGAGGUUUGCGGAAGCAAGGCAAGAGAAAAGAAGUCCUAAACUCGACCGAUUCUAUCUAGGUUUCAUCCUACAGUCGAUAUGGCUCUGAUACCAAUCUGUCACACCCGAUUUAUAAAGAACAUAAAUCGAGCCAUCAUAUAUGCAUCAGGAUCAAGUCACGCAUAUAUACAACAGAAUCAUCAAGAUAUCACAACACAUAUCACGAAUGACAUUAAUAUAAAUCGUAAAUGAAUUAUUUUAUUACAACCGAAUCAAGAAUCGGUUUAAGAGUUGCGGAAGCGUAAAAGAGAUACAUGAAGAGCUGGGCGCCACAGGGACGUCGACUGGGAGACAAAUGCCUAGAAGUCGUCGAAGCCGCUGACGUAGUCCUCCACGUUGCCGGGCACUGAGCAGCAGUCGAAGAUAUCCAAGAGAAUAGAAGAGUAGAAAGGCAAGAGUGAGUACAACUCGUACUCAACAAGUAUAACACAAACUAUGAGGCUCUAAGGUUGGCUGACUCGACUGCAUUAGCUUUUAGUCUUGGCAGAAUUUUAUUAAAGCUAAUUACUACAAGUGGAUGAAUUACCAUAAACCCGAAUUGCAUAAUAAAUUAUUCCAUAUUAAUUAAGAACUACUGAGAACCAUCCAAACCAAAACCACCCGGGGAAAUCUCCCUAAUCAAAGGUUGAUAACCCCACUAAUCAAAAAGAGGAUCUGGGCCGCUCAUGACUGUGAGCACAGCUGAUAUAUCAGUUUUAUACUCUCGAGAGGUUGCACAACUUUACCCGCAAGUCGUGAGCUACGCUAGUUUUUCAUCACACUUCCUUAGGUGAGAUGGCUAGCAAGCACACUACGAGACCGUUACAAAGGAUCACGUUGGUAAGGUGUAACCGCUAAGGUUUCUGGAUCAGCGACGAUGGGGCCCACCUCCGGGGGUACAAGACACACAGCACAGACCAAGCCGGAGGAGCAGGGACCAUUGAAGCUUACCACCCCUCUUGCCCACGCAGGUAAGUUACUCCCGAACCAACACGACCUAAUUAGUAAGUCAAGACCGUCCCAUUCUAGUCUUGUGGUUGCGCGAUUGUCCCAGGUUGUCGCUCUAUGAACCGGUCCUUAUGGAGAGUGGCCAACCAAGCACUAAGCACCGUGCUGGCCCCCUAAACCAUGUUUCUACAAAAACAUAUUUUUAAGGACGCGCAAACCACUCAAGCACACAACACAGAGGGUCGGCUCCAGAAUUAAGUUGCAUAUACCAUUAAUCAAAUUUAAUUAAAAAGGACCAAUUGUGAGAGCGCAGCACCUAGCAAAACUAACCACAAUGCAACCCAAAGGAUAUAUAUAAAGGAUAUAAAGGUGGCUAGGAAAUCCUUAUGGGCGUACAGAAUUAAAAUGCAGUAUGAAAUUGUAUUUAAAAGUGAUAGGAUGUUCAUGUUAUACUUGCCUUCCUCAAAGUUCUCCUGCUGCUGCUCAAAAACUUCAGAAGAUGGUGGCUCCUGGUACUCGUCCAAAGGCUCCGCGUCUACUCACGAUCACCAAGCAUGGUCCACACAUACACACAUGCACAGACAAUAGCAAACUAUAAAAAAAACAGUACACCAAUACAAUAGAACAGCACACAAAACUGGCCUAGAACUAUUCUACGCAUUACAACGAUCACGUGGACAUAAAGAACACCUAAAACGGAGCUAAAACGCGAAAUCUACGCUUGAAACAAGAUCCAGGGACCUUUCUGCGAGAAAAACUGGCUACAGGGGGGUUCUGGACAAAAACCAGGGGCUUAAACGCAAUUAAAGGGUAGACACAGGGGCUAACACGUGAAAACACAAGGCAUGGACUGCGGGCACUAAUUCCAGGAAGCUCAGGGGUCAAAAUGGAAGAAAAGGACCUGUCUGCGAAUACUUUUGAACUAGAGAUGGACGGCGGGUUAAUUCCCCAAAAGGGCAGGGGCUCUUUAACAAAACUGCCAUGGCUGAGGGGGGGUACGCGGUUUCUAAUCUGGGCGGUUGGAUCUAAAUCGAACGGUUCGGCGCAUUCCGGUUCGGACGGUCCGAUCUGAACAGCGGGGGUCCGAACGGUCCGAUCUGGACAGCGUGGUUCGGACUGGUCCGAUCCGGUAGAGCGUGGCCGGCAGCGUGGGGGGGGUCACUGGAGAUCGGUUUCCGCGGCGGCGUGCCGCCGGAGCUGGGCAAAAUCAAUGCUCCGGGGGUCAAAUCGAAUGGGGAUUGGGUCUGGAAGGUUCAGCGCGACCUGGGGAAACCACCUAAGGAUAAGGCGGAACGCGAGAAGGGCUCAGGCUGUGCGCACGAUGACGGGGGCGGGUCGGCACGGCGACGCAUCACCGGCGUGCGCGUUUCGGUCUAAGAGAGGGCUAAAGAUCUACGACAUCUAGUGCAAAAAGGACCAAGGAAUGGCGGGAAAGCUCACCCAGGUCUCGUGGUGGCCGGAGCUGCAGCGGAAGAUGGUCGGCGACGAGGUCCGAGCGGCGAAACAGGCGGCGCUCGUGGGGAAGGCUGCUGCAGAGAGGCUCGAGGUCCCUUGGACGUGCGGAUCGGUCGGGGAACUCCCUGCGGAGGUAACCAGGGGGUUAAGAUGGAUCAGGAUGCAACGACAAUGAGGAAUUCCGACGGCGGAGCAGCUCACCGUCGAAGGUUCCUUCGGGAAAUUCGGUCGAUGCCGAGGCGUAGGGCUUCGAUGCUGGGCUAGCGGAGCUUCGGGAUGGCGAGAGGGAGCGGACCCGGGGUUGUGGUGGUCUGGGGUGCAGCGGAACGGCCGGUCGGCAGUGAGGCCGAGGCGUCUGCGCGGCGGAGGGAAGAAGGAGGCGGCGGCGCUGCGGUUCUCCAGAGGUGCUGCUGCGGCUAGGUUUAGGGUUCUAGGGCGCGGAACCUUCUUGUAGGGCAGCGGCCCACAUUGGCAUGCGGGCCCGAAGCGAGAGAGCUUGCCAGAAGUUUCGGGGGCCGUUGCGCGGCCGGUAGAGGAAGAAGGAAGAAGGGGCCGACAGGUGGGGUCGAGCUGGGGAAAUGACUGAGAAAGAAGGAAUGACUGAGAAUAGAAGGAAUGACUGAGAAUAGAAGGAAUGACUGAGAGAAAAGAAGGAAUGACUGAGAGAAAAGAAGGAAUGACUGAGAAUAGAAGGAAUGACUGACCUACUUUCCUGUCUCCUCCCUUUUCUUUUUCAAACCAACUCGAUUCUAUUUGAAUUCAACCCCUAUGCACUCAACCAAAUAAAACUUAUGCACCAGCAUGAAUGCACAAACAUGUUGAACCUAAAAUAAAUUUUAGUUCUUUGUGAAUUAAAUUAUAAAUAAAUGCAAGCUAGGCAAAAUAAAUCCUUAAAAAAUUACUGGAGCCCAAUUAAAUUCAUUAUAGAUCUCGAAAUUUUACCUUAGGGUGUUACACGCGAUAUAGGAGUUGAUUGUUUACUAUUUUGCAAUCACUAUAAGGAUCACGGACGGGGUUAUGUGCAGUAUCAUGACUUAGAAUGGUACCCCAUCUGUGUUGAUCAAUUUGAUAAGGCUGCAGUGUGUGGUAGUGGUGGUGAAGUGUUUGAAAGUACUAGCCACAUACCGUAAAUAUGGUACGCAGUAAGCCUAGUACCUGAUUGGCCCGGCAAGUGGACAUAUCCCACACCACUCGAAUUUUCGUUAUGUACACACGCACCGACAUGUGGGAGUAUGUUCUGCAUAGCAGACGGGAGUACGAUCAUACAGUCACGCUGUAGACGUACGUCCUGCACAUUGGAUGUGCGUAUGGUCCUGCAGUUGCUUGUGGUGGUGCUGAUCCACAACCUGGAAUAUGAGGGGAAUGGUAGUCCGGAAAGGAAAGUUUCCGAGCAUGUGAGUUAGGAUCCCUUGUAAGGUUAUGAAAUUCGAUUCAGGAAUCGUCCAUUUCUCGCGGUGAUUGAGACUACUUGAUACUUCUGCCAUAUAGAGUACAAGAGCAACAGUUGAUGGAACAAUAUUGAUGUAUGCUUUAAUAUCUACCUUGCUUGUCUAGUAUAGAUGCUCACUUAGAAUGGUUAAUUGAACUAGAAUUUUAAAGCUAAAAUAUGCAAAUAAGGAUAUACUCUUUGUUAUUUUUCAGAAAAAGAAAAAGUAGAGCCUUUCAACCUCUCACGGUCUAGUUAUGGGCUAAGUAUACCCAAUUGACGGGUAAGCCUUGCUGAGUAUUAGUAUACUCAGGCUUGCUAGUAAUGUGGUUUUCAGGUAUGUCAUUCGAGGACUUAGUUGCUAGUUCUCCUUGGCCCUGCACUUUACCGCCUGGCUGGUCCGUGGAAUGGGAUCCGUCCCCGGCCAGCAAUGACUCUUCGGAAUGAUGCCAGCUUUGGGCUAAGUAUGGUGCCUGUUUUGCGACGAGUAGUCGCGUUGUUGUUUCUUUUCCGCUGCCAUCUCUGAAUAAUGUCCGUUAAAACUUGAAGUUUUCAAACAAUGUCUGUAUAAAUUUGUUUUAGUUAGGUUUGCAGUACUCGACCAGAACCCAGUUUGUAAUAACUACUUAUGCCUAUGUUGUAAAAAUAUGAUGGUGAUUGUAUCUCUGGAUUCGCCUUCGUGCGAGGUACGCUUGAACGAUCCGGAAUCCGGUGGUUUGAUCGUACCGAUCAAUAGUAUUUCUUUCAAUAUCUACUGGUGCUUCCAUGUCUCAUUGGACCGAUGCAAUUGUGUCUUUUGGUCACUUUAUUUUGGUUGAAGAUCGCGGAGCCUACUUCAUUCAGUCAGACGCUUUUUGACAACAAUUUAGAAAAGGUUCGGAAAACACUUCUUGGUGGUUUUCAAGGUCCACCUCCAUUCGUGUUUUGACUUCGUUUGUCAUCAAAGAUCAAUCACCAAUCAAGACAAACCGGGCGCUACGGUGAGACGUGAAAACACCCGAUCCCAUUCCGACCUCGAUAUAUAUGUGGAAUCGUCUUGCGCCAUAUGUACUGAAAUUGUUCGGGAGACAUGGUCAAAGCCCGGGUUGAAGCCCCUAAAGGGGAUUUCUUUCAGCCAACAUCCAGCCUUAGUGGCCCCUCUCUGAUAAGGUUUGAAAGUUUUCAAAACAAAAAAAAAUGACAAAUCUGGUCCGAUGGCUCUUCUCCACUAACCACAAGGAUAUCGGUACUCUAUAUUUCAUCUUCGGUGCCAUUGCAGGAG
rnacentral:lncRNA from 1 species